CAGUCACCUGUGAUUCCAAAUGGCAGCCUGGGUCUCAGUAGCUGUCCAUCAUUUCCCCAAAUUCAAGGCUCCAGAUGUGUCAGGACAGAGUGUCUUCUAAGACAGAAGAGACCAAGGAGACUACCAGGAAACAAGCCCCUAAAAAAGGAGAGACUGAAUCACUGGAGGCGAUGCUGACCCAAGCACCUGCACUAUAGGCAGGAAGAAUAGCACGAGCAGAAAUAGAAUGGAUAUCUGGAUAUCUGCUACUGUCCUGCUGAUACCUGGAUAUAUUUGCAGCUGUGAAUAAUGUAUAAAUAAAAAUUGACAAGGAU
rnacentral:lncRNA from 1 species